GGGUGAUUAGCUCAGCUGGGAGAGCACCUCCCUUACAAGGAGGGGGCCGGCGGUUCGAUCCCGUCAUCACCCACCA
rnacentral:tRNA from 14 species